rnacentral:rRNA from 1 species
CCUACGGGAGGCAGCAGUGGGGAAUAUUGGGCAAUGGGCGCAAGCCUGACCCAGCAACGCCGCGUGAAGGAAGAAGGCUUUCGGGUUGUAAACUUCUUUUCUGAGGGACGAAGAAAGUGACGGUACCUCAGGAAUAAGCCACGGCUAACUACGGGCCAGCAGCCGCGGUAAUACGGAGGCGGCAAGCGUUCUCCGGAUGUAUUGGGUGUAAAGGGAGUGUAGGCGGGAAGGCAAGUCAGAUGUGAAAACUCAGGGCUCAACCCUGAUCCUGCAUUUGAAACUGUUUGUCUUGAGUGCUGGAGAGGCAAGCGGAAUGCGGGGUGUAGCGGUGAAAUGCGUAGAUAUACGGAAGAACACCAAUGGCGAAGGCGACUAUCUGGCACAUAACUGACGCUGAGGAGCGAAAGCGUGGGUAGCAAACAGGAUUAGAUACCCGAGUAGUC